CGGAAGUUAUGAUGUGAUAGGAAAAGUAGUAGUUUGUGUGUCGGUGUGUGUAAUAGUGGUUCCAGAGGCCAUUUGGGUAUCCCGUCGUCAUUCUGGAUGCAGUACAUCAUGGACCUGGCCAGAUGCAUCGAUUUGCGGUGAGGAACUCGCUCUCGACCUUUCCACCGAAGUGAACAGGCCAAGAAAAGCCGCAAAGUUCAUUAAGUCCCCAAGUGGCUAACUACACAUCAUGGAUUUCCUGCUGUCCCCCGCCAUUCCUCGAUUCCCUGUCAUCAUCCUCAAAUUUUGUCGUCGUGCUUUUGGGUUAUCAGUCCGGGUGUGAGUUUUGGUCGCCAGCUAUCCGGCGUUCAAGUAUCCAGUAUCACAGCUUUCCCCAGUUUCCCGUGUUCCCCAGCUCAACAGAUCUCUCAAUGGACACUGGCCGCAGAAAAUUCUUAGAAUUCCGGAAAUGAAUGUGCGCAAUUUCGCAUUGGGCAAACAGACAGAAACAGCCGAGAACCAACUACAUUUUCGGGUCCCCAGUGCCGGGAAAUUCAUGGCCACGGUUGGAUGAAAAGUGAGUGCACAUGAAAAAAAUCAAGAAAAUUUGUGAACUGCUAAGACGUUUUUUAAAAGAACAUUACAAUUUUGAACUUGGAUUUGCCCGGAUUGAAAUGCUAUCCGUAGCCCUAUUCCGUAGGGUCCUUUCCUGUCCGCCACA